GGUGUGUCGAAUGUGUUAUCGGAUUUCCAGUGCAAUAUUGAAUAAAAUUGGUGAUAGUGGCAUCUAUCUCAUUCCCAAACUUAGUAGGAUCCUUGCUGGG